AAGGGAGACCUAAUUCCGGUAGGAGACGAAAAAAAAGUAGUCCCUACCAAGAAUCAAUCCCAAAAGGUCGAAGCGAGGCAAGAUUGGCUUUCAAACUAGGUUCUGGGUUCAAACAAGACCUGAAUCAGGAACAAGGGCUAUUAGCUCAGGUGGUUAGAGCGCACCCCUGAUAAGGGUGAGGUCCCUGGUUCGAGUCCAGGAUGGCCCACCUGCACAGGUGGCAAAAACAAAGAAGCGAGGAAUCAGCACCCUAUCUUACUCAUAUAGUAAGAGAGAAUGCUGGCUCUGAGUAAAGAGUCCAGAGGAACCUUGAAAACUGCAUAGAGCUAGGUGAAAAAGCCAAAAAAGAAGACCGCAA
rnacentral:tRNA from 1 species